rnacentral:tRNA from 1 species
GGAUCUUUAGCUCAGAUGGUUAGAGCAGCACACUCAUAAUGUGAAGGUCGUAAGUUCGAAUCUUACAUGAUCCACUA